GCCCACCAAAGCGACGAUGGUAGCCGAAUUGAGAGGUGAUCGGCCACAUGGGGACUGAGACACGGCCCAGACUCUACGGGAGGCAGCAGUGGGGUAUAUGGGCAAUGGGCGCAAGCCUGACCCAGCAACGCCGCGUGAAGGAUGAAGGCUUUCGGGUUGUAACUUCUUUGAUCGGGGACGAAAUUGACGGGUACCCGAAAAACAAGCCACGGCUAAGUACGUGCCAGCAGCCGCGGUAAUACGUAGGUGGCAAGCGUUAUCCGGAAUUACUGGGCGUAAAGGGCGUGUAGGCGGGAAGACAAGUCAGGAGUGAAAUCCCAGGGCUUAACCCUGGAGCUGCUUCUGAAACUGUUUUUCUUGAGUAUCGGAGAGGAAAGUGGAAUUCCCAGUGUAGCGGUGAAAUGCGUAGAGAUUGGGAGGAACACCAGUGGCGAAGGCGGCUUUCUGGACGAUAACUGACGCUGAGGCGCGAAAGCGUGGGGAGCAAACAGGAUUAGAUA
rnacentral:rRNA from 1 species